UCUACGUGUGCAUUUAGCAAUUUAUGUUGGCUGACCAUACUCCACCAUCCGCUACCUCUCUUCCGUGAUUAGCCCCGACCUUCGCUACCUCUCCCGUGAUUAGCGCCGACCUUCUCCACUCAAUCCCUCCCAGUAGAAUCCCUUCUGCCGCUACUAUGCAAGCCAUCGCCGGGGACGCACGAGAUGCCUGUCGUCACCACGCACACGAGCCACGAUGGGGAGAGACCGAGAGAGGGAGAGGUGGCCAGCCAUGGUAAGGUGUCGUUCAUCCGGCGAGCGUGGAGAAAUUGGGACGGGAGGAAACAAAGAAACCCCCACGCGCCCACGCCCACCACUGGAACCGUCGCCCCGCACCAGAUGCCUACACGGAUGGUGGCCGAGCGGAGGAGGGGGAGGCCGAAGUGCUCGCCGUCCCCUUCCGCAGUUCGGCGCUACCCGCACGCUGGAGGGGGUCCCCAGCACAGACCGGAUCCCCAUCUAUGGUCGGACGCUUCGACCUCCUGGGUAGGCAUGGCAAGUCCCGCAUCCGCGUCUGACACCGUCCCGCCUCGGCCGACGGCCACCUCUUCGCCGAGUGGAGCGUCACCGUCAGUGUCGUCUCCGACUGCCAUCGUCGUCACCGACUCCAUCAAGAACACCGUGUAUGUGAAGGCAAGGAGUGUUUCCUGGGAAGGCAUUUCACCUCACUAUACCCGCAGCGAGGCGCGAUGGCCACUGUGUGGCGUGCGCGGCUCGGCGGGCUGAGGGAGCGCGGGGUUAAUGGCCAGAGGGAGUGCAGCGGCCGGAGGUGAAGGGCGAGCGUGAACUGCGGUCGAGGUUCGUGUGUGGUAUGGACGAGCUGUCGGUUGGCUGAAUGCGUGGUGCACAGGCAGUAGUAGCAGGCACGAGCUGUUUACGCUGCUUUUCUCUGUAUUUUUCCUCCACAGAGGCAGUAGCAGGGUCAGGGACAGGACCAACAAAUCUCUCUGAAUUUUUGCAGGUCCAUACUUGCAUUCCCCCCUGUCUUUUUGUGUCAACUAGCUGCCAUCUAUUCGCCAACAUCUGCUGUUGUGCGCAAGAUUUAGUUAUCGGAGUGCGCACACCACGUGCUUGUGUUGCUGUUGUGAGGCCAUGGUGGAGGAGGGGGUGGCCCUGUUCUAUGGCGGCGCCGUUGGGGAGAGGCUGGUGGAGGACGUGCAGAUUGCGGUGACUCGACUGAGACAGGCAAUAAGCAUCGGAUUAUACAUCGUAUUCGGAGCUAUAGCUUUUAAUAUUAAUGUAUUUUCAAAGUUGCUAGCCUAUGCUUAUAUGGGGAGCUACAGCUUGUAGAUGUAUUCAGAAUGAUUUUCACGAAGUUGUGACAUUGUCUAACAAUUUGACAUUUGCUCACUGGGAAUUGAAUGAAAACAUCUACUAAGAAAUUAAAUGUGUAUACAAGUGAGCAUUCAUCUCCUUCUUUAUGUUCUCUUCCGAAAUGUGUUUUUUAAGCUUAUCAAUUUCGUCAGUAUAGUUGGAGAGUUAGUUUAUGUGCUUAUUCCCAGUUGACUAUGCCCAAUUCACUUAACAUGAUUUUUGGAUUCAAUUUUCAGAAAUAACUCAUAUGAAGAACUGAGGCUUUGGUGUGGUCAUUGGCCUCCUGAACUGCCAAGCUGUAAAUCUUCAGGUAUUUAGAUAGGUUGAUACGAGGAUUUGCUUUCAA